AUGAAUAUCCUUAGCUGGAACUGCGGAGGGGCGGGGAACCCUCGGACAGUUCGUGAUCUUGUGAGCUUGGUGCAGGCUCAGUCCCCUAGUAUCGUCUUCCUUUAUGAAAGUAGGCAGCCAAAAAAUAAAAUGAAGAGACUGCGUGCUCGUUUAGGUUUAAGAAGUUUUGAUGCUUUCGAUUGUAAUGGUCUUAGUGGUGGUCUUGCCUUGUAUUGGCAUGAGUCACUGAGUCUUGAUGUAAAAGAAAUAAAUGAACGAUACAUUGAUGCGUAUGUGACUGGUGUGGUGGGUGAGCCACCCUGGCGGCUUACCUGCGUCUAUGGUGAGCCUCGGACGGAGGAUCGUCAUCGUAUGUGGACAAUGCUUCGUAAUCUCCACCAACAGGCCAACAUGUCGUGGGUCGUGGUGGGAGAUUUUAAGGAAGCGAUGUGGAGUUUUGAGCACUUCUCCGACACACCACGCUCCGCAGGUCAGGUGCUUGAUUUUCAAGACGUUCUUGAAGUUUGUGGGUUGGGGGAUCUCGGUUUUGCAGGCCUCCCAUACACCUUGGACAAUCGACGAGGAGGCCGAGCAAACGUCAAGGUUCGCCUUGACCGUGUGGUGGCGAAUAAUGCUUGGAGGGAUGUUUUUGCACAUGCAAAGGUGGAGCAUUUGGUGGCGCCGAGCUCAGACCACCUAGCCAUCCUCCUCAAGUGUGCGCUGGAGGAGCCACAGUAA
rnacentral:rRNA from 1 species